GGGUUGUGAGGUUAAGCGACUAAGCGUACACGGUGGAUGCCCUGGCAGUCAGAGGCGAUGAAGGGCGUGCUAAUCUGCGAUAAGCGCCGGUAAGGUGAUAUGAACCGUUAUAACCGGCGAUACCCGAAUGGGGAAACCCAGUGUGAUUCGUCACACUAUCAUUAACUGAAUCCAUAGGUUAAUGAGGCGAACCGGGGGAACUGAAACAUCUAAGUACCCCGAGGAAAAGAAAUCAACCGAGAUUCCCCCAGUAGCGGCGAGCGAACGGGGAGGAGCCCAGAGCCUGAAUCAGCAUGUGUGUUAGUGGAAGCGUCUGGAAAGGCGCGCGAUACAGGGUGACAGCCCCGUACACAAAAGCGCAUGUGCUGUGAGCUCGAUGAGUAGGGCGGGACACGUGGUAUCCUGUCUGAAUAUGGGGGGACCAUCCUCCAAGGCUAAAUACUCCUGACUGACCGAUAGUGAACCAGUACCGUGAGGGAAAGGCGAAAAGAACCCCGGCGAGGGGAGUGAAAAAGAACCUGAAA
rnacentral:rRNA from 1 species